rnacentral:rRNA from 1 species
UACGUAGGGGGCAAGCGUUGUCCGGAAUUAUUGGGCGUAAAGAGCGUGUAGGCGGCUCGGUAAGUCUGCUGUGAAAGUCCAAGGCUCAACCUUGGAAUGCCGGUGGAUACUGUCGAGCUCGAGUCCGGAAGAGGCGAGUGGAAUUCCUGGUGUAGCGGUGAAAUGCGCAGAUAUCAGGAGGAACACCAAUGGCGAAGGCAGCUCGCUGGGACGGUACUGACGCUGAGACGCGAAAGCGUGGGGAGCGAACAGG